CACGGAUGCAUCUGCAGACUGGUGUGAGGUAGACUCAUUUCAUGUUCAUAAUAUGAAAUCCAGAUCUUUGGAUACUUCUCCUCUGAAGAAGAUCCUAUUGCUUCCCAGUUGGAUGAAGAAAAUUUGGUUUUCUUUGUGUCUAGAAAAAGGCGAAUUUUAAUUUCAGGUAGUAGAAGACGAGAUGUGAUUAAGAGCAUUGUCAAGAUACCUCACCUGGAUUUACUAAUAACAGCUACUCAGAAAGGAUUAAUAACAGUUUUUAAUAACCAGUUCUUCAGUAAUCUCCAGCUCAGGAAAUCUUUCAGAAGUUGAAGUCACAGACAGCCAGAUUCUGUCAGAGGAGGGGGCUGUGUGGGCCCUGGAGGUGGUGCAGUGAGGGAUGCAGAGUGUGGGCGUGGAGUCUGGGCUCCAGCCUCGCACUAACACUUACAGCUGUGCGUGUUAUUUAAUAUCUGCAUGCCCUGGUUCCUCAUCCCGAAUCAUAGACCUUCUUUCUUGCUGUUUAAGUGAGUUAAUACUCAUGAAGUGCUUAGCAUCAUUAGAGUUCCUCAGCAAAUAUUGGCCAUUGCUAUAAUAAACAAAUAAUGUGAAAACAAA
rnacentral:lncRNA from 10 species